rfam:Oryctolagus cuniculus chromosome 14, whole genome shotgun sequence.
AGAGCUGUGGCAUAGUGGGUAAAGCUGCCGGCUGCAGUGCCGGCCUCCCAUAUGGGCAUGGGUUCAAGUCCCGGCUGCUCCA